rnacentral:rRNA from 1 species
UGAGGAAUAUUGGUCAAUGGACGGAAGUCUGAACCAGCCAUGCCGCGUGAAGGAUGAAGGCGUUCUGCGUUGUAAACUUCUUUUAUCAGGGAAGAAACCUAUUUUUUCUAAGAUAGUUGACGGUACCUGAGGAAUAAGCACCGGCUAACUCCGUGCCAGCAGCCGCGGUAAUACGGAGGGUGCAAGCGUUAUCCGGAUUUACUGGGUUUAAAGGGUGUGUAGGCGGGCAUUUAAGUCUGGGGUGAAAUCUCCAGGCUCAACCUGGAAACUGCCAUUGAUACUAUUUAUCUUGAAUAUUGUUGAGGUAGGCGGAAUAUAACAUGUAGCGGUGAAAUGCAUAGAUAUGUUAUAGAACACCGAUUGCGAAGGCAGCUGACUAAGCAUAUAUUGACGCUGAGGCACGAAAGCGUGGGUAGCGAACA